rnacentral:rRNA from 1 species
UAGAGUUUGAUCAUGGCUCAGGAUGAACGCUAGCUACAGGCUUAACACAUGCAAGUCGCGGGGCAGCAUGUCGGUUGCUUGCAACCGAUGAUGGCGACCGGCGCACGGGUGAGUAACGCGUAUCCAACCUGCCCUGCGGUAGGGAACAGCCCGGCGAAAGUCGGAUUAAUGCCCUAUGUGCUCAUUUGACGGCAUCAGAUUUUGAGCAAAGGAUUCGUUCGCCGCAGGGCUCAGGAUGAACGCUAGCUACAGGCUUAACACAUGCAAGUCGAGGGGCAGCAUGAACUUAGCUUGCUAAGUUUGAUGGCGACCGGCGCACGGGUGAGUAACGCGUAUCCAACCUGCCCCGAGGUCAGGGACAGCCCGGCGAAAGUCGGAUUAAUACCUGAUGGUCUCUUUUGAUGGCAUCUGAGGAGGAGUAAAGAUUCAUCGCCUUGGGAUGGGGAUGCGUAGGAUUAGGCAGCAGGCGGGGUAACGGCCCACCUGGCCCUCGAUCCUUAGGGGUUCUGAGAGGAAGGUCCCCCACACUGGUACUGAGACACGGACCAGACUCCUACGGGAGGCAGCAGUGAGGAAUAUUGGUCAAUGGGCGAGAGCCUGAACCAGCCAAGUAGCGUGCAGGAAGACGGCCCUACGGGUUGUAAACUGCUUUUAUGAGGGGAUAACGUGCGCCACGUGUGGUGUAUUGCAGGUACCUCAUGAAUAAGGACCGGCUAAUUCCGUGCCAGCAGCCGCGGUAAUACGGAAGGUCCGGGCGUUAUCCGGAUUUAUUGGGUUUAAAGGGAGCGCAGGCGGCCUUUUAAGCGUGACGUGAAAUGUAGGCGCUCAACGUCUGAAUUGCGUCGCGAACUGAUGGGCUUGAGUCUACGGAAUGCCGGCGGAAUUCGUGGUGUAGCGGUGAAAUGCUUAGAUAUCACGAAGAACUCCGAUUGCGAAGGCAGCUGGCAGCAGUCAGACUGACGCUCAUGCUCGAAAGUGCGGGUAUCGAACAGGAUUAGAUACCCUGGUAGUCCGCACGGUAAACGAUGGAUGCCCGCUGUUUGCCAUUGAGGUAAGCGGCCAAGCGAAAGCAUUAAGCAUCCCACCUGGGGAGUACGCCGGCAACGGUGAAACUCAAAGGAAUUGACGGGGGCCCGCACAAGCGGAGGAACAUGUGGUUUAAUUCGAUGAUACGCGAGGAACCUUACCCGGGCUUGAACUGCACAGGAAGGAUACAGAGAUGUUGACGCCCUUCGGGGCCUGUGUGGAGGUGCUGCAUGGUUGUCGUCAGCUCGUGCCGUGAGGUGUCGGCUUAAGUGCCAUAACGAGCGCAACCCUUCUCUUCAGUUGCCAUCAGGUGAUGCUGGGCACUCUGGAGACACUGCCACCGUAAGGUGUGAGGAAGGUGGGGAUGACGUCAAAUCAGCACGGCCCUUACGUCCGGGGCUACACACGUGUUACAAUGGCGCGUACAGAGGGCAGGCACUGGGCAAUCAGCGUCGAAUCCUUAAAACGCGUCUCAGUUCGGACUGGGGUCUGCAACCCGACCCCACGAAGCUGGAUUCGCUAGUAAUCGCGCAUCAGCCAUGGCGCGGUGAAUACGUUCCCGGGCCUUGUACACACCGCCCGUCAAGCCAUGAAAGCCGGGGGCGCCUGAAGUCCGUGACCGCGAGGGUCGGCCUAGGGUGAAACCGGUGAUUGGGGCUAAGUCGUAACAAGGUAACCGUA